rnacentral:lncRNA from 1 species
AUUAAUCAAAUGGUCAGUGUGUAGUGUAGCUUCUUGUCCUGAAUCAGGACUGAUAACGUGUGCAGUUGAUGCCAAUCUGAUCUAUGCUGUGGUGCAGGUGAGUUACCAACUGUGCAUGAUGCUGAAGGGUGGCGGGAAACCAAAAACCAGAAAUCUCUCAUCUUAUUACACGAUAAUCUCUUGUCUAAAACAUCAAAAGAAAGUACUCAAACCAUUAUAUUAUUUCUCAGCUGAGCUUUUUGGUUUCAGGUUUCAAACUUGAAUAGAAACCAAUGCUGGCUCAGACUCCAGGGGAUGAACAUAACUGAGAUUGCAAAAAGCACUUCAAUCAGGUUUCGGAUCAGAUAUUGGUGGGAGGCUUCAACCUUAUCAGCCUGUUGAUUCGUUCUUUCUCUGUGUUCUCCAGGACUCCCUUCACAUAAAAAAAAAAAAAAAAAACAUUUCGAUGCAAAAUCAAGAAACACACUGCAACAAAACUGUGACAGAGAACAUGGUGUCUUGCAAUCAUGCAAACCAUCUUUAAAGUGUACAAGAACAAAUCAUACCUUCCAAACAAUUUCUUCCAGACAUGAACAAAUCCUUCCAUACUUGUCAGGAAACAACCUCUCACUUGGAGGUUUUUGGCAUACAUCCCUGAUUGACGCGGUGAUGAUGAAAAUCACUUCAGCCACUAGAGGACAGCAAACGCACUGUUAGAGGUCUAGGCGCGGGGCGCGCCAACGAAGGCACAUUGCCUAGAAUUCGGCAGCGAUGGACUGCGGCAGAAACGAAUUCGGCAGGCAGCGUGCAAGGGUCUGUGCAAGUCUUUGAGCUGGCGACUUGGCAUGGACGUGGGGCUUAGACAAUGGACUUUCUAAGUCAGCAGCUGACACAGCAAGGCAGACAAUUGGGGCUGCUAUGAGGGCAGGCAGAAUCAUGGGUGGAGGGGCCAGAUAAUGGAGGACAAAGUGCUUCACCAACCCACUAAGGAUAAUGGGGAAGGUAGUGCUCCACUAGUCCAUGUAAAGGGUGAUCAUGGGGGAGAUAAUGCUCCACCAUGCCCCGAAAUUAGGGGAUUAUAGGUGAGGAUGGAAUCUCACAUUUGGCUAUAAAUAGGCUGCCAAGCCUCUGCUGUGUAGCAUGCGAUUUGUGCAUAGCACACACCAUAUUUGUGUAUUCCUUUGUUGAUGAGAUAAAUAAAGGUUGAGAGGGAUUCUUGUAAAACUCUAGUGUGCUUGUGUUGCUUGUGUUGCUUGUGUUUACUUGUUGUCUACGACGAGGCGAGUGUGAGAACCUCCUUGAGUGAGCGAAACACAUAGUCGUAGGAAAACACGAGUGAAAGGGUGAGGCAAGGCUGAGUCUAGUUGGGGCUAGACUGCCGCAUUGGGUUAAGUUUAGUUGCGAAAAAUUAACCCCGUGACAAU